rnacentral:rRNA from 1 species
CCCACUGUCUCCCCCCUCCAAUCAGUGAAACUGAUCUCCCCGUGAAGAAGCGGGGAUAAAAAUAUAAGACGAGAAGACCCCAUGGAGCUUUAAACCCAACAACACCCACUUAUUUUUACCCACACAUUAAUUAAAGUCUGUUUGUUUGGUUUUAGGUUGGGGUGACCACGGAGUACAAAACAACCUCCAUGAAGAAAGGACUGAAAACCCUUAUUAGAGAACAACAUUUCCAAAAUUAAUAAAUUAACUUUUAAUGAUCCAAUAUUUGAUCAACGAACCAAGUUACCCUGGGGAUAACAGCGCAAUCCACCUCGAGAGCUCCUAUCGACAGGUGGGUUUACGACCUCG